AAAGGUGGUCGGAUAGCUGCGCCAAACAUAUCUCGAAAGAGGUUUGGCGAGGAAAGUCCGGACUUCAUGGAGACAAAGUACCAGAUAACGUCUGGCUGGGGAAACCCAAGGGAAAGUGCCACAGAAAAUUACCGCCCGCCGUCGCGAAAGCUAUGGUGGGUAAGGUUGAAAAGGCGGGGUAAAAGCCCACCGCAGAAAUGGCAACACUUCUGGCAAGGUAAACCCUACUUGAAGCAAGACCAAGAAUGGAGAUUAUGCAGAGCGUUUCCACUCUGUUCCUAAUGGUAGGUCGCGUUGAGCUAAUAUGGCGACAUUUAGCCCAGAUGAAUAGCUAUCGCUUGAAAAAGCACAGAAUCCGGCUUAUAGACCACCUUAUUUU
rnacentral:RNase_P_RNA from 1 species